UUGAUCAAGCUACAAAGAGCGCAUCAUGGAUGCCUUGGUGCCAAUAGGCGAUGAAGGACGUGGUAAGCUGCGAUAAGCUACGGACAGCGGCAAACACGCUUUGACCCGUAGAUUUCCGAAUGGGGUAACCUGAGCGAGGUAACACUUGCUCGAGUUCCUGUGAAUCCAUAGCAGGAACAUCGCGACACCCGGCGAAGUGAAACAUCUCAGUAACCGGAGGAAAAGAAAUCGAAAGAGAUUCCGUCAGUAGUGGCGAGCGAAAGCGGAACAGGCUAAACCGAUCGACUUGUCGAUCGGGGUUGUAGGAGCCCGACGAGGUAGUGCAAAGGUUAGGUGAAGCUUCUGGAAAGCUGCGCCAUAGAGGGUGAAAGGCCCGUAACCGAAAAUCCGAGCACGCCUAGGGAUUUCCUAAGUAAUACGAUGCACGUGAAACUUCGUAUGAAUCUGCGCCGACCACGGCGUAAGCCUAAAUACUCAUUGGCGACCGAUAGUGAACAAGUACCGCGAGGGAAAGGUGAAAAGAACCGCUGUGAGCGGAGUGAAAUAGUACCUGAAAUGAUGUGCUUACAAGGUGUCAAAGCCCGCAAGGGUGAUGGCGUGCCUUUUGCUUAAUGAGUCUGCGAGUUACUAUCAGUGGCGAGCCUAAGGCGUUGUGCGCUGGAGGCGAAGCGAAAGCGAGUCCGAAAAGGGCGAUUUUAGUCGCUGGUAGUAGACC
rnacentral:rRNA from 1 species